AACGAACGCUGGCGGCAGGCCUAACACAUGCAAGUCGAGCGAGGACUUCGGUCCUAGCGGCGGACGGGUGAGUAACGCGUGGGAACGUUCCCUUUGCUUCGGAAUAGCCCUGGGAAACUGGGAGUAAUACCGGAUGAGCCCUUUGGGGGAAAGAUUUAUCGGCGAAGGAUCGGCCCGCGUUGGAUUAGGUAGUUGGUGGGGUAAUGGCCUACCAAGCCGACGAUCCAUAGCUGGUUUGAGAGGAUGAUCAGCCACACUGGGACUGAGACACGGCCCAGACUCCUACGGGAGGCAGCAGUGGGGAAUCUUAGACAAUGGGGGAAACCCUGAUCUAGCCAUGCCGCGUGAGCGAUGAAGGCCUUAGGGUUGUAAAGCUCUUUCAGCUGGGAAGAUAAUGACGGUACCAGCAGAAGAAGCCCCGGCUAACUCCGUG
rnacentral:rRNA from 1 species